rnacentral:rRNA from 1 species
GACGAACGCUGGCGGCGUGCUUAACACAUGCAAGUCGAACGGAAAGGCCCUGCUGUUGUGGGAUGCUCGAGUGGCGAACGGGUGAGUAACACGUGAGUAACCUGCCCUUGACUUUGGGAUAACUUCAGGAAACUGGGGCUAAUACCGGAUAGGAGCUCCUGCUGCAUGGUGGGGGUUGGAAAGUUUCGGCGGUUGGGGAUGGACUCGCGGCUUAUCAGCUUGUUGGUGGGGUAGUGGCUUACCAAGGCUUUGACGGGUAGCCGGCCUGAGAGGGUGACCGGCCACAUUGGGACUGAGAUACGGCCCAGACUCCUACGGGAGGCAGCAGUGGGGAAUAUUGCACAAUGGGCGGAAGCCUGAUGCAGCAACGCCGCGUGCGGGAUGACGGCCUUCGGGGUGUAAACCGCUUUCGCCUGUGACGAAGCGUGAGUGACGGUAAUGGGUAAAGAAGCACCGGCUAACUACGUG